AUCGCUUCUCGGCCUUUUGGCUAAGAUCAAGUGUAGUAUCUGUUCUUAUCAGUUUAAUAUCUGAUACGUCCUCUAUCCGAGGACAAUAUAUUAAAUGGAUUUUUGGAGCCGGGAGAUGGAAUAGGGGCUUGCUCCGUCCACUCCACGCAUCGACCUGGUAUUGCAGUACCUCCAGGAACGGUGCAUCUCCC
rnacentral:snRNA from 1 species